GGCAGUGGUGGCUUGGGGGUUAAGGCUCUGAUUUACUGAUCAGAAGCUCGGGGGUUCAAGCCCCAGCACUGCCA